AGUGGUUCUAGAUAGUUCAACAGUACAGCAUUCGUUUGUGAAAUGUUUAGGACCACUUG
ensembl:miRNA